rnacentral:rRNA from 1 species
GAUGAACGCUGGCGGCGUGCCUAAUACAUGCAAGUCGAGCGAAAAGACGAGGAGCUUGCUCCUCUGACGUUAGCGGCGGACGGGUGAGUAACACGUGGAUAACCUACCUAUAAGACUGGGAUAAUUUCGGGAAAACGGAGCUAAUACCGGAUAAUAUAUUGAACCGCAUGGUUCAAUAGUGAAAGACGGUUUUGCUGUCACUUAUAGAUGGAUCCGCGCCGCAUUAGCUAGUUGGUAAGGUAACGGCUUACCAAGGCAACGAUGCGUAGCCGACCUGAGAGGGUGAUCGGCCACACUGGAACUGAGACACGGUCCAGACUCCUACGGGAGGCAGCAGUAGGGAAUCUUCCGCAAUGGGCGAAAGCCUGACGGAGCAACGCCGCGUGAGUGAUGAAGGUCUUCGGAUCGUAAAACUCUGUUAUUAGGGAAGAACAAAUGUGUGAGUAACUAUGCACGUCUUGACGGUACCUAAUCAGAAAGCCACGGCUAACUACGUG